rnacentral:rRNA from 1 species
GGCUAAUGCCGGAUACGCAUGGAACCGCAUGGUUCCGUUGUGAAAGGCGCUGUAAGGCGCCACUAAAAGAUGAGGGUGCGGAACAUUAGUUAGUUGGUGAGGUAAUGGCCCACCAAGACUAUGAUGUUUAGCCGGGUCGAGAGACUGAACGGCCACAUUGGGACUGAGAUACGGCCCAAACUCCUACGGGAGGCAGCAGC